UACGUAGGUGGCAAGCGUUGUCCGGAAUCAUUGGGCGUAAAGGGCUCGUAGGCGGUCUGUUGCGUCAGGAGUGAAAACUCGGGGCUUAACCCCGAGCCUGCUUCUGAUACGGGCAGACUAGAGGUAUGCAGGGGAGAACGGAAUUCCUGGUGUAGCGGUGAAAUGCGCAGAUAUCAGGAGGAACACCGGUGGCGAAGGCGGUUCUCUGGGCAUUACCUGACGCUGAGGAGCGAAAGUGUGGGGAGCGAACAGG
rnacentral:rRNA from 1 species